rnacentral:tRNA from 1 species
GCGGGCGUAGCUCAGUGGCAAGGUGCACGCCUAGCACGUGCGAGGUCCUGGGUUCAAUCCCCAGCACCUCCU